AUGCACGCUGGCGGCGUGCCUCAUGCAUGCCAGUCGAGCGAACAGACGAGGAGCUUGCUCCUCUGACGUUAGCGGCGGACGGGUGAGUAACACGUGGAUAACCUACCUAUAAGACUGGGAUAACUUCGGGAAACCGGAGCUAAUACCGGAUAAUAUAUUGAACCGCAUGGUUCAAUAGUGAAAGACGGUUUUGCUGUCACUUAUAGAUGGAUCCGCGCCGCAUUAGCUAGUUGGUAAGGUAACGGCUUACCAAGGCGACGAUGCGUAGCCGACCUGAGAGGGUGAUCGGCCACACUGGAACUGAGACACGGUCCAGACUCCUACGGGAGGCAGCAGUAGGGAAUCUUCCGCAAUGGGCGAAAGCCUGACGGAGCAACGCCGCGUGAGUGAUGAAGGUCUUCGGAUCGUAAAACUCUGUUAUUAGGGAAGAACAAAUGUGUAAGUAACUAUGCACGUCUUGACGGUACCUAAUCAGAAAGCCACGGCUAACUACGUG
rnacentral:rRNA from 1 species